rnacentral:rRNA from 1 species
AGUGGAUGGGGAGCAACCUAGUUGUGCGUGUGUAAAGGUAGUGCCAAGAAAAGCGGUGAUCAUGAUGAAAAUCAAUUCCCGGUACCCGAAACCGACACAGGUGGGCAAGUAGAGAAUACUAAGGGGCGCGAGGUAACUCUCUCCAAGGAACUCGGCAAAAUGACCCCGUAACUUAGGGAGAAGGGGUGCCACCGAGAGGUGGUCGCAGUGAAGAGGCCCAGGCGACUGUUUAGCAAAAACAUAGGUCUCUGCAAACUCGAAAGAGGAGGUAUAGGGGCUGACGCCUGCCCAGUGCCGGAAGGUUAAAGAAGUUGGUCAGUCUUAGGAUGAAGCUAGCGACUGAAGCCCCGGUGAACGGCGGCCGUAACUAUAACGGUCCUAAGGUAGCGAAAUUCCUUGUCGGGUAAGUUCCGACCCGCACGAAAGGCGUAACGAUCUGGGCGCUGUCUCGGAGAGAGGCUCGGCGAAAUAGGAUUGUAUGUGAAGAUACGGACUACCUGCAUUUGGACAGAAAGACCCUAUGAAGCUUUACUAUAGCUUGGAAUUGUGUUCGGGCUUCCUGUGCGCAGGAUAGGUGGGAGGCGUAGAAGGUAUUCUUGUGGGGAUACUGGAGCCAACGGUGAGAUACCACUCUCAGGAGGCUAGAAUUCUAACUUAAUUAAGGACAGUUUCAGGUGGGUAGUUUGACUGGGGCGGUCGCCUCCAAAAAGGUAACGGAGGCGUACAAAGGUUCCCUCAGACUGGUUGGAAAUCAGUCGAAGAGUGCAAAGGCAGAAGGGAGCUUGACUGCGAGAAGUACAGUUCGAGCAGGGUGGAAACACGGUCUUAGUGAUCCGACGGUGCUGUGUGGAAGGGCCGUCGCUCAACGGAUAAAAGUUACUCUAGGAUAACAGGCUGAUCUCCCCCAAGAGUUCACAUCGACGGGGAGGUUUGGCACCUCGAUGUCGGCUCAUCGCAACCUGGGGCGGAAGUACGUCCCAAGGGUUGGGCUGUUCGCCCAUUAAAGCGGUACGUGAGCUGGGUUCAGAAUGUCGUGAGACAGUUCGGUCCAUAUCCGAUGUAGGCGUGAGAAUAUUGAGAGGAGCCUUCCUUAGUAUGAGAGGACCGGGAAGGACGCACCGCUGGUGUACCUGUUAUGAUGCCAAUUGUAAACGCAGGGUAGCCAAGUGCGGAGAGGAUAACCGCUGAAAGCAUCUAAGUGGGAAGCCCACCUCAAGAUGAGUAUUCUGGUGUAAGGUCACGGGAAGACGACCCGUAAAUAGGCACGAGGUGGAAGUGCAGAGAUGUAUGAAGCCGAGGUGUACUAAUAGACCGUCGGCUUG